rnacentral:rRNA from 1 species
UACGUAGGGUGCAAGCGUUGUCCGGAAUUAUUGGGCGUAAAGAGCUCGUAGGCGGCCUGUCGCGUCGACUGUGAAAACCCAGGGCUCAACCCUGGGCCUGCAGUCGAUACGGGCAGGCUAGAGUGCAGUAGGGGAGACUGGAAUUCCUGGUGUAGCGGUGAAAUGCGCAGAUAUCAGGAGGAACACCGGUGGCGAAGGCGGGUCUCUGGGCUGUAACUGACGCUGAGGAGCGAAAGCGUGGGGAGCGAACAGG